AACCAAGGUGUUGAGCAUAGUUCAGGACUGCUUCCCUGUCCUGGUAAUUAAACUUGGGGAUAAUAAGUCAAGGGUUGGGACUAAUGACUGGGUAGGAGUUAUUUCUCUAUUUCCCACCUAGCCGACAAAA